GAUGAACGCUGGCGGCAUGCCUAACACAUGCAAGUCGAUCGGUAAGGCUCUUCGGAGUACACGAGAGGCGGACGGCUGAGUAACGCGUAGGAACACACCCUGCAGUGAGGGAAAAGACACCGAAAGGUGUUCUAAUACCGCAUACGGUCUUCGGAUUAAAGCAUUUAUGCGCUGAAGGAGUGGCCUGCGUCAUAUUAGAUAGUUGGUGAGGUAAUGGCUCACCAAGUCGAUGAUGUGUAGCUGGUCUGAGAGGAUGAUCAGCCAGACUGGAACUGAGACACGGUCCAGACUCCUACGGGAGGCAGCAGUGAGGAAUAUUUCACAAUGAGCGAAAGCUUGAUGGAGCAAUGCCGCGUGCAGGAUGAAGGCCCUCGGGUUGUAAACUGCUUUUAUAAGAGAAGAUUAUGACGGUAACUUAUGAAUAAGGGACGGCUAACUACGUG
rnacentral:rRNA from 1 species